rnacentral:rRNA from 1 species
GACGUAGGGGGCGAGCGUUGUCCGGAUUUAUUGGGCGUAAAGAGCGCGUAGGCGGCCCGGAAAGUCGGAUGUGAAAACCCGGGGCUCAACCCCGGGCCUGCAUCCGAUACUCCCGGGCUGGAGGCAGGUAGGGGAGAUCGGAAUUCCUGGUGUAGCGGUGAAAUGCGCAGAUAUCAGGAGGAACACCGGUGGCGAAGGCGGAUCUCUGGGCC